rnacentral:rRNA from 1 species
GUAGUUAGCCGGGGCUUCCUCCUUGGCUACCGUCACUUCCUUCGUCACCAAGGACAGAGGUUUACAACCCGAAGGCCUUCUUCCCUCACGCGGCGUUGCUGGGUCAGGCUUGCGCCCAUUGCCCAAUAUUCCCCACUGCUGCCUCCCGUAGGAGUCUGGACCGUGUCUCAGUUCCAGUGUGGCCGAUCAGCCUCUCAGCUCGGCUACCCAUCGCGGACUUGGUGGGCCGUUACCCCGCCAACUAUCUAAUGGGACGCGAACCCCUCCCUCAGCGGAUUGCUCCUUUGACCUCAUCCCGAUGCCGGGUCGUGGUCUUAUGCGGUAUUAGCACUUGUUUCCAGGUGUUAUCCCCCUCUGAAGGUCAGGUUGUUCACGCGUUACUCACCCGUUCGCCACUAAAAUUUAUCUUCCAUCCGAAAACUUCUGAUAAAUCUCCGUUACGACUUGCAUGUGUUAGGCACGCCGCCAGCGUUCGUCCUGAGCCAGAAUCGAGCCCUGA